CAGGCUGCCGGAGCCAGCAGUGGCAACCGGAGUCCUUUUCCACACUGUGGAAGCUUUGUUCUUUUGCUCUUUGCAAUAAAUCUUGCUGCUGCUCACUCUUUGGGUCCACACUGCCUUUAUGAGCUGUAACACUCACCGUGAAGGUCUGCAGCUUUACUCCUGAAGCCAGCGAGACCACGAACCCACCGGCAGGAACGAACAACUCCAGACGCGCCGCCUUAAGAGCUGUAACACUCACCGCGAAGGUCUGCAGCUUCACUCCUGAGCCAGCGAGACCACGAACCCACCGGAAGGAAGAAACUCUGAACACAUCCGAACAUCAGAAGGAACAAACUCCGGACACGCCGCCUUUAAGAACUGUUAACACUCACCGCAAGGGUCCGCGGCUUCGUUCUUGAAGUCAGUGAGACCAAGAACCCACCAAUUCCGGACACAAGGGGAGCUGACUUUCAUUAUAAAGAUUUUCUCAUUGCAAAGUGAAAAAGAGAAUAAUAACUUUAAAACAAGGCAGAAAGUAAAGAGAACUGGAAGCGAGGAACAUGCUCUGAACUAGAACUGGCAACAUGAGAGAUGAGCUCAGGCUUCAAAAUGGUGUCUGCACUGGGUCUUGAAGGAAGAGCAGAGUUUGGGCAUUUAGAAACCAAGAAUUCCAGCCGGUUUCUUCAGACUGAUAACAAGAAUCAGCAAAAGUCUGAGAGCAGGAGUGCAGCUCAUUGGUACAGCAGCCAUAGUAAACAAGGAGGAAGGGAAUCCCUUCAUGAGGACAGGAGGGAAAGAAGGAGGAUUUACUUUAAACCUGUUGACAAGUCUCAGAGCAUGGUGCUGGCAUCUGGCAAGGGCCUUAUCCCAUGGCAGAAGGCAGAAGUGAGUACACAAGACAGAGGGAAGAAGGAGGCCAGACUCCCAAGAAAUGAAUGGCAGUAUCAUCAGAACAACCACCCAUAUGUUUUCCCAAAGCAAGACAUUGUGAGGUGUUAAGAGAUAUAUGCAGGUCUUCAAGGAAUCGUUACACUGUCUUCUACUAUGGCUGAACUAAUUUACAUUCCCACCAACAGUGUAAGUGUUCCUAUUUCUCCACAGCCUUGCUAGCAUCUGUUGUUUCUUAACUUUUUAAUAAUUGUCAUUCUGUCAUGAGAUAGUAUGUCAUUGUGGUUUUGAUUUGCAUUUCUCUAAUGAUCAGCGAUGUUGAGCUUUUUAUCGUUUG
rnacentral:lncRNA from 10 species